UACGGAGGGUGCGAGCGUUGUUCGGAAUUACUGGGCGUAAAGCGCACGUAGGCGGCUUUGUAAGUUAGAGGUGAAAGCCCGGGGCUCAACUCCGGAAUUGCCUUUAAGACUGCAUCGCUCGAAUUGUGGAGAGGUAAGUGGAAUUCCGAGUGUAGAGGUGAAAUUCGUAGAUAUUCGGAAGAACACCAGUGGCGAAGGCGACUUACUGGACACAUAUUGACGCUGAGGUGCGAAAGCGUGGGGAGCAAACAGG
rnacentral:rRNA from 1 species